rnacentral:rRNA from 1 species
UACAGAGGGUGCAAGCGUUGUUCGGAAUUAUUGGGCGUAAAGCGCGUGUAGGCGGCAAGGCAUGUCGGGUGUGAAAGCCCUCGGCUUAACCGAGGAAGUGCGCCCGAAACUACCUUGCUUGAGUACCGGAGAGGAUGGCGGAACUCCCGGUGUAGAGGUGAAAUUCGUAGAUAUUGGGAAGAACACCGGUGGCGAAGGCGGCUCACUGGCUCGUAUCUGACGCUCAGGCGCGACAGCGUGGGGAUCAAACAGG